rnacentral:rRNA from 1 species
UACGUAGGCAGCAAGCGUUGUUCGGAGUUGACUGGCGUAAAGGGUGUGUAGGCGGUCUUCUAAGUUUGGUGUGAAAUCUCCCCGGCUGCAACUGGGGAGGGUGCGCCGAAAACUGGGAGGCUAGAGUGCGGGAUGGGAGACGUGGAAUUCCUGGUGUAGCGGUGAAAUGCGUGAGAUAUCAGGAGGAACACCUGUGGUGGUAGACGGCUCUCUGGACCACAACUGACGCUGAGACACGAAAGCGUGGGUAGCAAACAGG